rnacentral:misc_RNA from 1 species
ACCCUGUACAACUUUGGUACGCGACUUGUCAAACUUUUGUUGGACUGGGACUUUCUACGAGUGAGAAAAAAUUUCAUUGGCUUUAAAAUGGAAAUAUGUUGGUAAAAUUAGAAAACAAAGUUAUUGGCGAGUCCGAAGUGGUAAUCUUAUCAUCGAAAUAUUUAACUCGAGUGGAAAUGUUUGAUAGAAAAAUUACUUCGUAAAGUAAGCAUAUCGCGUCUACAUGACGACAGGGCGGAUUAAUCGGAAUACAUUACAAAGAAAACGCGAUGAAAUUAUUCAAGGUUUUCACCGAGUGCGUUUUGUGCUGAAAUUUUUGUAACAAAGAAAUAUUACAACAAAUUUAAACAAAAUAUAAUUUUAUCAACAAAACCAAAGCAUAAGCCAACAAUACGAUAAAUCAGUAUCCUUAAAAACGAAUUGGGGAAAACGUAGAUAGACGUUGGAAGAAAUUUUGGUAUCAAAAAUCAGUAAUAACCAACAUAUCUAUAUAAGCAAACAGUAACAACAACGAAAUUAGUGCGUGCUGCAAUUAAUGUUGUAGUGACUGUGCCUAGUACAUAAAUACAUACAUAUGUAUUUACCAAAGAGCGGAAGUUCAAUUUGCGAAUAAUAUUUAGGACAAAUCUAAGUGCAAUCUUCGAGCGCAGUUUUACGUUUUCCGUUGUUUUACUUCACAGCAUGCAAGGUACUCGUCGGAAGCACUGCAUUUUCCACCAUAGAUAAAUGGUAACGGCAUUUGACGAUCGAGGUAAAAGGGAACCUAGGAAAGAACAUUUAAUACUGCGCCGUUAAUGCCAACGCCACUCUCGUCAUAUUAGAGGUAGAAGUACUAUAGCUUUAAGUACUUGCAUGUCGAGAAGUCGGUUUUAAAAAGAUUUCAGCAAGGCAUUGGGUUCAGCAAAUGUACACGUAUAGGACUUUCAACACAUUAUAAUUGCGCAAUAUUCCUCUGAAAUAAUUGGAAACGAAAAAGCAAACAAUUCGACGACUUGAUCGCAGAUCUCUACGUUUUCCAUAAAAAUCGUUUGCAAUAUAAUAAAUGCUAAGUGGUGAUCAAAAGAAAAUAUGCAAAUAACGUCAGAAAACGUGUAAAUAAAAUUUGCCAAAUAGUCGUACAAACACCUUAAUUUGCGGACAAAGAGACACUAACAGACUGCCGCAUAUACAAUAUACAAUACAAUCACAAUCUCAAAAGGAUGACUUUAAUUUCCUGGAGAAAUUAAAAAAGGCGUAUCAUUUGCUAAAUUAUUUUGACAGUCAUUAGCAGUCAAAGGAAAUUUACAUCAUAAGAAUAUACGAAAUAUCAAAACCGACAUGAAGUAUACCACUGGAGAUAAUAGUGGCAAUAGCCAGAACAUGUGUGGAACCAAUGACCAAACUCCUAAAACAUUUGACUUUGCCCGAAAUCAGAGUCCAAUUACAUUUAGUGAACAGGUUACUACUGUGACGAGGUUUUUUGAAGGAUGGAAUGAUUGCGAACGAACAGUUGUUAUAUAUGCCCUGCUGAAGCGCCUGAGGUAUCCUAGUUUAAAAUUCUUACAAUACGCUAUUGACCACGCCCUGACGCAAAGCUUAGGCUCAGAUUCUAACCUAAGUAGUGUUAUCAUCGACAUAAAUGCGAACAAUCCAUCGUAUUUGCAAAAUCUAUUAAACGCCUAUAGGACGUUGCACUUGAACGACGCCGUGGACGCUCUGACAUCGGGCUCUUUGGACAAGGAAUCCAUGCCAUGCUAUGGUUCUGAUUUUCAAAUCACAAACUGCGAUGAACGCAAAUUAUACGAGAAAAAGAAGGAGAUACUGUGCGAAGUUUUGAACAUGUUACCGCUAUUGAAACCGGGAAACGAUGACGCCAAGUUAGCUUAUUUGGCUCUCGUUCCAGCAGCAGUGAGGGACACUAUGAAUCAGCGGGUCCCCACAGAGUUGGUACAACAAAUAUUUUCGUACUUACUCAUCCACCCCGCUAUAAGUAACGAAGACCGCCGCUCGCUCAGUGUUUGGUUGCGACAUCUGGAAGAUCAUUUGCAUGCUACCGAUAAGUUGACGGAUCCGAAAAACCCCAACAACUAUACCAUCAACCAGAGCAUAGCUGCUGGGUCGGAUGCUUCAGUUUCCUCAAUAACAUCGUCGUCAUCUAUGUCGAACAAUUCGAUGUCAUCAUCGGGCAGUUCGGCAGCAGGGCACAUAUCGACUUCGCAUACAAUGCCAAGGAGCAUUGAUUGGCAAACCAUUGCUCCGCCAAGCAAACAGCACCACUUAGUGCAACAAACUCCGCUUCCACAGCCAAAGUCACACCCGGACUGGUCCAGCUUUCCGCGGAGAGAUAGUGGGUUCUCAAACAGUUGCUUAAAUAAUUUGAGCGGUAUAAGCUCAAGUAGUAGCGGCAGCAGUUGUAGUAAUCGGCGAAACAGUAGCAUUACUGACCAACUCUGUGAUAAUUUCAAUGGUAUUAAUCUAAACGAAUUAGGAUCUAGUCAAAACAAGAUGGGCUUGUCUUUGGGGAUCGCAACCAUUGGGUGUGACACAAAUCCAGAGGAAUCAUCAUUGGUAAAUGGAGUGGCUGCAGCAGCCGCCGCAACUGCUGGCACUACAAUACCUGGCCUUUUUGGCAACAGCAAUAAUACGCCAAUGAUAAACAUCGUGAGCAGUGGUGCCAAUGACACAAGCCUAUGUGCCAGCACCAGUGCCAAUAAUCCCAACAACGAUGACCAUGAUACAUCCUUUUCCAAGAAUGGCACCGAAAUCGUCGACUUUGAGCCUCACGUGACCAUCAACGUUAGCGAAGAAUGCAAAAAUGGUGCUUCAGUGCCUGCAGGCCAUGAACAAAAUGCAAACAAUCAAUUACAGCAAAAGUCCCAAAUGGAAUUUACUUCGAUGACGGCAGGUAAUUAUGAACAGAUGGAUGUGACUCGCUGGAGCUUAGAUGGAAAACUGGGUGCACUUAAAACUCGACGCUCUAAUAGCCUUACUACACAAGCAAUAUCCACAUCUUCGUCGUCUUCUAAUUCUUCGGUGAUUACAGUCAAUGACAACUGUUCAAAUUCCACUGAAAAUUUGGCACAGUUUGCAAAUAAGCCUAGAAGUUUCUCGCUUUCCAUAGAACAUCAGCGUGGUGUUUUAGCCAAUAGUGGUUCAGAUACACGCCUCGAUGAUUUCAAGCCCGGUUAUAUAAAAUUUCAAACACGAAAUGUCGGCAUGUCAAAUAUUGGCUUGUGGUUGAAGUCUUUGCGCUUACAUAAGUACAUUGAUCUCUUCAAGAAUAUGACAUAUGAAGAUAUGCUUUGUAUCACUGAAGAGUAUUUGCAAGGUUUAGGCGUCACCAAAGGCGCUUCGCACAAGCUAGCACUCUGCAUAGAAAAACUCAAGGACCGCUCGCCUCACUUAAGCAAACUGGAGCAGGAUUUGCGAAAUGGUCAAACGAAAAUACAAGCGGCUGUAGAGGAUUUAGCCAACAUGGUACUCUCUCCCAUGAAACCUGUUGAAGCUUUUAGUAGUGGAGCAAACGAAGACAAUGUAGCGCUCGGCUUUCUGAAAGUGGUUGAUAUAGUGAGCUCUAUGAUUCAACACGACACUGGCGCGUCGCAGGACGAGGAAAACAUUAACGUACUGAUGUGGGUUCUUGACCGUUCCAUACACAACGAGGCUUUUGUGAACCAAUCCACCCAGCUUAAGGAAUUAAAGUUCAAACUGUCAAAGCUAAAAAUGUCGAUUGGGCACAAAGCGCACCACGUCAAAAAUGGAAGUGUAGGAAAUUUAAAUAAGCCUAGGUGGGGUGGUAAAUCGCGCAAAUGUGACGUAAAAAAUGGAAGCAAUGACCGCAUCAACCAUAGAAAAAAUUCGAAUGAUACGCUAAACUUCUCAAUCAACGGCGUACCUACAACGCAGCAGCAACAGCACCAUGGCAUUCAUGCUCAACCGGCUGAUUUCGAAAAGGUCGCUCACCUAAACGUUGGUGCUAAUAACAGCGGCAAUAACGGGGUAUCGCAGCAGCAAUACAAAAGUUCGUCAUAUCCCAAUUUCAUGAGCAACCAACAUCAGCAGGGAAAGCAGCAACAUCAAAAUCAUCAUUCACAAUUAUCGCAACAACAACAACAACAGAUGCAACCUGCAGUUCUGUCACACCAUGCUCAUUUUCCGGCGCUACCUUCACACCAACAGCAGCAGCAACCCCAACAACAUCAUCGGCGAUCCCUUAAUAAUUUAAUAGUGGUGUCUGGAGGACCACAGCAAGCCCAAAAAAUGACCUUUAAACCAGGUCAAGGCAUUGUACCUGUAGUGCCAACGUCCACCGAAAGCCAACUACGCCGUACUAGUCUUACAACAACGAUCACUAAUCAAAGCAGUAAUAAUGUUAAUUUGCCAUCUACGUUUGCCCCAAGUGUUGGAAAUGUAGCCGCCGGCAAUGGCGACUCGUCAAAGCAAAAACCAAAUAUACUGCAAGCACAACACCAACAACAAACAAAGCAGACAAUGACAUCAGCUGUAAUGGUUAGUACCGACGAACUUGCACUUGGAGGUGUGAUCGGCCCACAACAACAACCUCAACAACACUCACAUCUAAUAAAUAACAACAGUAGCAUGCUAAAUAAUAAUUUACUUUGCCAACAGCAGCAGCAACAGUUGCAGCUAUUAGCCGCUGCAGCCGCAGCUGUUGGCAACAGCUGUCGAAAUAGCAACUUAUUGAACUGUCUGUGCAAUGUUAACGCUAACGGUAGCAACAAUUGUAGUAAAACCAACUGUUGUAGUGUCAAUAAUGCCAAUAGUUGUAGCAAUUUACCGACCCAAUUCAUCGAGCCACAUAGCGGCAACCAACGUUCGUCUCUAGCAACCCCUGCAACAAUGCCACUGUUAAAUAAUAUAAAUAUGUCGCUGAAAGAUAAAUUCCCUACCAAAGGUUCCUUGUCCAAUUCUGCUGCUGUAAAUAUGAACGACAUUAAUAGUUUAGAUCAACUAGAAACGCUCUGCUUGCAAAUGACCGAACAGGCAAUCAACUAGGAUUGUUAAUUCCUUUGGUUAUAUUUGAUGAAUUUUUUUUUUUCGUUCAACGCAGAUAAUGGUUGCAUUUUGUUUGAUACUUGGUACUUGUUGUAGAUAUUUUUGGUUUCUGUCUUUCAUUAACUUUACUUUCCUCUGUUAGACAAAUUGUAACUACUAACCUAGACGAAGUUGAUUAUAUACAAGUAUUUAGAAUAUUGCCACUAUUUAACUUGUUAAAUGGAUUUAGCUAGUUAAUUAGUGGAAACCCAGUUAAAUCAAACAUACCAUUAGUUAGUCAACGACGUAAGCGUCAUAAGUAGUUGUGGUAUACCUGAUUUUGUGGUUAGAUGUAUAUUUUCCGAAUUGUAAUUGAUUCCGCUUUUUUGUUCUCUUUGUUUCUUUAAUUAUUCAGGAGAAUUUUUCGAAUUUCGAAGAGAUCUUUACUCUAUUCUAACAUUUUGAGAAGUGACGUAAUCAGACUAAACCUUUCAAAGUAAAUCCAUUCUACCGUUGGAUAAGGAAGCCUGGAAACAGAAAGCAUGUUCUAAUCAAGAUAGAAGAAUAAACGUUUGAAUGCCCCUGAAAACUCUGAUGGCCAACUGUUGACACUAAUUCAAUUGAAUGAAUAAUGAGAGCCGAUUAUUACCUGGAUAAAACUCAUCACAAUGACAGGCGCCGCUCUCGUACGGAACGUAAUUGCUGAAUUUAAUUUUAACUAAAAAAAUAAUGCAACAUAUUUAGAAUUUUAGUAGUAAAAUACUUAAAUAUUUUACUAAGGUAUUUAGCAGGAAUGAGAAAUUUCGACUAAUCAAGGCACACUGUGUAAAGCUGAACUUAUAUCUUAUAAUACGCAUGAAUGCAUGUAUCGAUUUAAGAUGUCAACUAUAUAUACUAAAUAAUAUUUAACAUAGCUAAGCUGAAAUUACAUAUAUAUAGUCGUAUAGACCCUUUUUGUAAGCCCCUUGCGUAGCAUUUCGGCAUAAUCUUGUUGUUGUAAGAGCAUACGAACUCGCCAGAAAGUGUGUGGGAAUACUGCUGGAGUGGCAGUCCUUGGCCAAAUAUAAAUCUGGUUCGUUCCAGUUACGUAUGUAGGUCUGACUGUCCUGGGAACGAUCUCAGCAUAAUAGUUGGGGGA